AGCUGUAAUGGCCCAUUCGGGACGGAGGCUCGCAAUAUUCUCACCCCACUAUUCCAUUUCCAUCAGAACCUCAAUACGAUGCCCAGCGCGAGUAUGGCAGCGGUCACCCACUCGCUUGGGUAGCCAGCGAUGCUGCGUGUGGUCCGAAGCCGCGAAGACGAUACCUCAGGGAGGUUUCACUCUGCAGGGGCGUCUUCACUGCUGUACGGCGUGCUGGAUCACAUUGUCUUGGGUUUGGGGUAGAGAGGAGAGAUGGUGAUGUCAACUCCUUUUU
rnacentral:SRP_RNA from 1 species